UGCAAGUCGAACGAUGAAGCCCUUCGGGGUGGAUUAGUGGCGAACGGGUGAGUAACACGUGGGCAAUCUGCCCUUCACUCUGGGACAAGCCCUGGAAACGGGGUCUAAUACCGGAUAAUACCUGCCUGGGCAUCUGGGUGGGUUGAAAGCUCCGGCGGUGAAGGAUGAGCCCGCGGCCUAUCAGCUUGUUGGUGAGGUAGUGGCUCACCAAGGCGACGACGGGUAGCCGGCCUGAGAGGGCGACCGGCCACACUGGGACUGAGACACGGCCCAGACUCCUACGGGAGGCAGCAGUGGGGAAUAUUGCACAAUGGGCGAAAGCCUGAUGCAGCGACGCCGCGUGAGGGAUGACGGCCUUCGGGUUGUAAACCUCUUUCAGCAGGGAAGAAGCGAAAGUGACGGUACCUGCAGAAGAAGCGCCGGCUAACUACGUGCCAGCAGCCGCGGUAAUACGUAGGGCGCAAGCGUUGUCCGGAAUUAUUGGGCGUAAAGAGCUCGUAGGCGGCUUGUCACGUCGGGUGUGAAAGCCCGGGGCUUAACCCCGGGUCUGCAUUCGAUACGGGCUAGCUAGAGUGUGGUAGGGGAGAUCGGAAUUCCUGGUGUAGCGGUGAAAUGCGCAGAUAUCAGGAGGAACACCGGUGGCGAAGGCGGAUCUCUGGGCCAUUACUGACGCUGAGGAGCGAAAGCGUGGGGAGCGAACAGGAUUAGAUACCCUGGUAGUCCACG
rnacentral:rRNA from 1 species